CCCAACCACAGCCACUUCAGGUCCAUGACUUCCAAAUGUCUUUCCUUAGACAAUUUCUAGACAUAGUAAGGACAACUAGUCAACCAUGACUGACACGUACCUCAAACAAUGCUAAGUGACUUGGAAAUGGCCACACAGCCAGGUUCAAUGUGGGAACCGGGAUUUUGGUCUCUUCACACUGCAACAGAGCUGCACCAAGCCCCAGCCUCUGUGGGGACCACAGGAUUCAUUCUACACCCAUGUGGAUUUAGCUGUCUAAGAAGAUGCUUGAUUUCCAGUGCCUGGGCGAGGAGCCAGGACUUCUUCCACGGGGUUUCCCCAGCACCAAGCAGAGGAUAAGAGUCCAGUAACAUUUGCUCCAGCUGAGAUGGAAAAGCUGACAUCAUUCACCUCACAUGCCAUAAGAAUGACUUCUACCAAACGAUGAAUAAAACAUGAUUGUUUUACAUAAA